rnacentral:lncRNA from 1 species
CCCAGAGGCCGUUUGUCCAAGUCACGUGAUCGUCGAAUCUGUUGACCUGGCGCCACCGGAAAAAGAAAUUCCCGGGCCCUGGCUUCUUGGCCUGAUGGUGCUAAAGUGGAGGGCCUCCCAUGGGGUGUUCAGCCUGGGUGUGUAGAAGCACACAGUGUGGUACAGAGGACCCUCUCCAGACAGGUGACCCCUCAUGCUGCUGCUCCCUCUGCUGAAACCCAAACUGCAAACCUCUCCUCUCCCUGCCUUCACCUUGCCCCACGGCUUCCACAGACAGUGCCUCAACCCCGAGGAAUGAAUCCGAAGUUCCAACACCACUGACUUUCCCAGGAACUCAGAGCCAGAGAGGGCCAAGGACCAGCUCGAGGACACACAGCCAGGGCUUCUUCCCUCCGAAACCCCCAAGGACUGGACUUGCAGGGCUGGGACAGAGGUGGGGUGGGGGAAAGCAAUGCCUUGUCAACCCACGUGGGGAGCCCCACUCCCAUCCCCAAGGUGCAUAAAGUUGAGGAACACCCCUGCU